rnacentral:rRNA from 1 species
UGCGUAGGCGGCGCAGCAAGUCGGGUGUGAAAUCCCCCAGCUCAACUGGGGAAUUGCGCCCGAAACUGCUGUGCUAGAGGAAUAUAGAGGUGAGCGGAACUUAGGGUGGAGCGGUGAAAUGCGUUGAUAUCCUAAGGAACACCGGUGGCGAAAGCGGCUCACUGGGUAUUCUCUGACGCUGAGGCACGAAAGCUAGGGGAGCAACG